rnacentral:rRNA from 1 species
AGUGAACGCUGGCGGUAGGCCUAACACAUGCAAGUCGAACGGCCGCACAGUAAGAGCUUGCUCUUACGGGUGGCGAGUGGCGGACGGGUGAGGAAUACAUCGGAAUCUACUUUUUCGUGGGGGAUAACGUAGGGAAACUUACGCUAAUACCGCAUACGACCUACGGGUGAAAGCAGGGGAUCUUCGGACCUUGCGCGAUUGAAUGAGCCGAUGUCGGCUUAGCUAGUUGGCUGGGUAAAGGCCCACCAAGGCGACGAUCCGUAACUGGUCUGAGAGGAUGAUCAGCCACACUGGAACUGAGACACGGUCCAGACUCCUACGGGAGGCAGCAGUGGGGAAUAUUGGACAAUGGGCGCAAGCCUGAUCCAGCCAUACCGCGUGGGUGAAGAAGGCCUUCGGGUUGUAAAGCCCUUUUGUUGGGAAAGAAAAGCAGCAGGUUAAUACCCCGCUGUUCUGACGGUACCCAAAGAAUAAGCACCGGCUAACUUCGUG